rnacentral:rRNA from 1 species
GGGUUGUGAGGUUAAGCGACUAAGCGUACACGGUGGAUGCCCUGGCAGUCAGAGGCGAUGAAGGGCGUGCUAAUCUGCGAUAAGCGCCGGUAAGGUGAUAUGAACCGUUAUAACCGGCGAUACCCGAAUGGGGAAACCCAGUGUGAUUCGUCACACUAUCAUUAACUGAAUCCAUAGGUUAAUGAGGCGAACCGGGGGAACUGAAACAUCUAAGUACCCCGAGGAAAAGAAAUCAACCGAGAUUCCCCCAGUAGCGGCGAGCGAACGGGGAGGAGCCCAGAGCCUGAAUCAGCAUGUGUGUUAGUGGAAGCGUCUGGAAAGGCGCGCGAUACAGGGUGACAGCCCCGUACACAAAAGCGCAUGUGCUGUGAGCUCGAUGAGUAGGGCGGGACACGUGGUAUCCUGUCUGAAUAUGGGGGGACCAUCCUCCAAGGCUAAAUACUCCUGACUGACCGAUAGUGAACCAGUACCGUGAGGGAAAGGCGAAAAGAACCCCGGCGAGGGGAGUGAAAAAGAACCUGAAACCGUGUACGUACAAGCAGUGGGAGCACCCUUUGGGUGUGACUGCGUACCUUUUGUAUAA